UCUACGGGUGGCUGCAGUGAGGAAUAUUGGUCAAUGGACGAGAGCCUGAACCAGCCAAGUAGCGUGAGGGAUGACGGCUCUAUGGAUUGUAAACUUCUUUUAUAUGGGAAUAAAGUGCGGGACGUGUGGCGUUUUGUAUGUACCAUAUGAAUAAGGAUCGGCUAACUCCGUGCCAGCAGCCGCGGUAAUACGGAGGAUCCGAGCGUUAUCCGGAUUUAUUGGGUUUAAAGGGAGCGUAGAUGGGUUGUUAAGUCAGUUGUGAAAGUUUGCGGCUCAACCGUAAAAUUGCAGUUGAUACUGGCAGCCUUGAGUACAGUAGAGGUAGGCGGAAUUCGUGGUGUAGCGGUGAAAUGCUUAGAUAUCACGAAGAACUCCGAUUGCGAAGGCAGCUCACUAAACUGCCACUGACACUGAGGCUCGAAAGUGUGGGUAUCAAACAGGAUUAGAUACCCUAGUAGUC
rnacentral:rRNA from 1 species